GCCCGGUUAGCUCAGUCCGUCGAGCACCAGAUUCUUAAUCUGGCUGUCGCGGGUUCGAGCUACGCAUCGGGCU
rfam:Angiostrongylus costaricensis strain Costa Rica genome assembly, scaffold: ACOC_scaffold0002574